rnacentral:tRNA from 1 species
GGGCUUCUGGUGAAAUAUCACACUGCCUUGUCAAGGCAAAAUUGCAGGUUAAACUCCUGCGAAACCCU